CAGCAGCCGCGGUAAAACGGAGGGGGCUAGCGUUGUUCGGAAUUACUGGGCGUAAAGCGCACGUAGGCGGCUUGGUAAGUUAGAGGUGAAAGCCCGGAGCUCAACUCCGGAAUUGCCUUUAAGACUGCCGAGCUAGUAGGUGAGAGAGGUAAGUGGAAUUCCGAGUGUAGAGGUGAAAUCCGUAGAUAUUCGGAAGAACACCAGUGGCGAAGGCGGCUUACUGGCUCAUUCUAGACGCUGAGGUGCGAAAGCGUGGGGAGCAAACAGGAUUAGAUACCCGCGUAGUCCCUGUCUCUUAUAC
rnacentral:rRNA from 1 species